CUCGCGCUGUGCCAAGAAGUCUUUCUCUGACCAUCUGUAAUCCAUUCAGAGGCAACUGGCAGGAAAUGGCAGCAAGGAAAACCCCAGCGCCACGCAACUGGUGGGACCACCUCUCCUCGAGCUCCCGGCCAGCAACAGGAAGUCGGCCCUUCUCGGGACACAGAACAUCUGUGGGGGUUCUGGAAGCUGCCGGGUGGCUGUCAGGGGGCUCCACGGGCCCGAGACAGAUGCUCACAAAAUUUGGUUCAAUUAGACCACAAUUUCAAGUAGUUCAAAUCCGCUCGCUGUGGCUCCCCCUCCAAUCUGGCAUUGUCAGCUGCUUCUUCCUAUUAGUGAUGGUCUCACUUUUUGGCACUAAAAACAGAGGCCCUCAAUGCAUUGCAGUGGUGAGCUGGGUCCAGCAUGGACACGUGCAAGAGCCCAUUGUUAAAUUUUCAGGAAUAUGCAAGGAAGUCACUCUCGUCACCAAAGACCCAGUGAAGUUCCAACACACGUCUUUGUUCUUUCACUUUCAUCUUACCCACUGAUUUACA